UCAAAAGAAGUCUCAUAGAUACCUUCUCCUCCAUGGAAUCUCCCAUGUCGAGAUCUUAUAAUCAUUCUUCUCAUACUCAAUCCCCAUCAUCCAUUCUUAUAUCAUGGAAGACGCCUCUCAACAAUUUCUUCAAGCUCAACUUCGACGGUUCGGUUCGUAACAACUUAGUAGCAGUAACAAUCAUCAUCGGAGAUAGUAGCGUAGCACUCAUCAAAGCAUCUACGUUCAACCUCGGCAACGCCAAAGUAUUUAUAGCGGAAGCUAUGGCUCUUCAUAAAGGAGUCUUACUAGCCCUUGAAUGUGGCAUUCAGAACAUUAAAAUUAAAGGUAAUAACUUAUUAGUCAUCAGCCCAAUAAAAGGCAUCUGAAACAUUACCUUAACAGAUCAAACAUAUUAUCGAAGACACUCGUUAACAAAAAAAAAUGACAGAAAUCUAGAGAGAGAAAGAACCCUAAGAGGAAGGAAGGAAAGGAAAAAAAUAAAGAAGAAUCCCAAAACAGCCCGCACACCGUCACUUGUUUGUCUUAGCUACCAUGAAUUAUUCAGAAAGCUCAAUCAUACCUAUUUUGGAACCCCAAUCAAAGAGAGAAACAAGCAAUUUAAAACCCGUUAGUGUGUUUGAAGUUUUGUGGAAUUGCAAUCGGAAUUAAUGGUAGAAAGUUCGAUGCGAAUACCGCGGUUGAAAAUCUUCAUUGUUGGCUCUACUAUGGCCUCAAGAUGUAGCGAGAUGUUGAAGUCCAGACCCUGCUGGUCGGAAAUAACGGAGCGGUGAUCCCGUUGUUUACCUUCUCGGCUCAGUUGUUCGUAUGGUGGCGUUUAAUUGUGCAUUAAAUGGUUUCUACAUACCGUGUCUCGACUUCCAUCGGAGCCUUUUGCAUAAGUAAAACAACUAUGAUCAGUGUUGUAUCUUAAGUGAUAUUUGGUCUUCAUACCAGCUGCAGACCUUUCUCAUGCAAGUAAUAAUUGCAUAUAUUCGAAAUCUACUUUGUUUUAUGUACUUGUAUAAAUUACAACUUUUGAAUUGUUUAAAUGUUGUAACUAAUGCAUGGGGUUGUAGUUGUAAUUGUAAUAAGCAUCAAAAUGAAGUAUGAUGAAUGGAUUUAGUCAACCCCUUGGAAUCGAGUGCUUGACACUCUAUGAAUAUGGUGUGGCUAAAGUGCACACAUUAAAGAAAACCAUGUUUGAUAAA